UACAGAGGGUGCGAGCGUUGUUCGGAAUUAUUGGGCGUAAAGCGCGUGUAGGCGGCUUCGUAAGUUGGGUGUGAAAGCCCUCGGCUUAACCGAGGAAGUGCGCCCAAAACUGCGAGGCUUGAGUACCGGAGAGGAUGGCGGAAUUCCCGGUGUAGAGGUGAAAUUCGUAGAUAUCGGGAGGAACACCAGCGGCGAAGGCGGCCAUCUGGACGGAUACUGACGCUGAGACGCGAAAGCGUGGGCAUCAAACAGG
rnacentral:rRNA from 1 species